AAAGGAGAUAAGGAUGGCAAUGUGA
rnacentral:rasiRNA from 1 species